rnacentral:rRNA from 1 species
AUAGCGUAUAUUAAAGUUGUUGCAGUUAAAAAGCUCGUAGUUGAAUUUCGGGAUUGACGUGAUGGUCGUGCCUUACGGGGUAUGAACUGUUGCUGUUGAUUUCUCACCUUCUGGAGAAACUUGAUGUCCUUAAUUGGGUGUCUUGCGGAUCCAGGACCUUUACCUUGAAAAAAUUAGAGUGUUUAAAGCAGGCAUUUUGCUCGAAUACAUUAGCAUGGAAUAAUAGAAUAGGACGGCAUGGUUCUAUUUUGUUGGUUUCUAGGAUCACCGUAAUGAUUAAUAGGGAUAGUUGGGGGCAUUGGUAUUGAGUCGCUAGAGGUGAAAUUCUUGGAUUGACUCAAGACCAACUAUUG